GAGUUUGAUCAUGGCUCAGGAUGAACGCCGGCGGUGUGCCUAAUACAUGCAAGCCGUACGCACUGGCCCAACUGAUUGAUGGUGCUUGCACCUGAUCGACGAUGGAUCACCAGUGAGUGGCGGACGGGUGAGUAACACGUAGGUAACCUGCCCUGUACAGGGGGAUAACAAUCAGAAAUGACUGCUAAUACCGCAUAAGACCACAGCACCGCAUGGUGCAGGGGUAAAAACUCCGGUGGUACAGGAUGGACCCGCGUCUGAUUAGCUGGUUGGUGAGGUAACGGCUCACCAAGGCGACGAUCAGUAGCCGGCUUGAGAGAGUGAACGGCCACAUUGGGACUGAGGACACGGCCCAAACUCCUACGGGAGGCAGCAGUGGGGAAGUAUUGCACAAUGGGGAAACCCGUACGAUGCAGC
rnacentral:rRNA from 1 species